rnacentral:rRNA from 1 species
ACGGAACUUCUUUAAUUGACUUCUUCGGAAUGAUUUUGAUUAAGUUUAGUGGCGGACGGGUGAGUAGCGCGUGAGUAACCUGCCUCUGAGAGGGGAAUAACAUUCUGAAAAGAAUGCUAAUACCGCAUAACAUAUAUUUAUCGCAUGGUAGAUAUAUCAAAGAUUUAUCGCUUAGAGAUGGACUCGCGUCCGAUUAGUUAGUUGGUGAGGUAAUGGCUCACCAAGACCGCGAUCGGUAGCCGGACUGAGAGGUUGAACGGCCACAUUGGGACUGAGACACGGCCCAGACUCCUACGGGAGGCAGCAGUGGGGGAUAUUGCGCAAUGGGGGAAACCCUGACGCAGCAACGCCGCAUGAAGGAUGAAGGUCUUCGGAUUGUAAACUUCUUUUAUUAAGGACGAAGAAAGUGACGGUACUUAAUGAAUAAGCUCCGGCUAACUACGUGCCAGCAGCCGCGGUAAUACGUAGGGAGCAAGCGUUGUCCGGAUUUACUGGGUGUAAAGGGUGCGUAGGCGGCUUUGCAAGUCAGAUGUGAAAUCUAUGGGCUCA